UUCUAGACCAAACCCUAAAUUCUAGGCAGCUUGUCCCAUCACCGCCGCUAGCCUCCUUCUCAGAUCCGGCGGCUACCAGCUUCCUUCCUUGUUUUCAGACCCACCCAAUCCACCCAGCCACCGAUCCACCCGUCUGUGCCACCGGAUGGAGAUCCGACGGCCACCAGAGCGCCCGAGCCUCCCGCAGGGCUUGAUCCAGAUCGGUUCGAGGCCUCCACGAGCAGCCCCGAGCUCCUCCUCUUGCGCCUCUGUGCUCGAUCCCCUUCGCCUCGUGCCACUUCACCGCCGGCAAGCUUCGCCGGAGAUGAGCGCCGACGCCCCCUUUUUCAUCUUCCCGUGCUCCUCCCGUUUCUCUCUCUCUCUCUCAUCUCCCUGCCUAUCUCUCUCUUUCUGUCAGCAGGGAGCCCGCCAUUGACGCUAGGAGUCGUCCUCGCCCUUGUUCUCGCAGCAAGUCCCGAGCUCCUCCCGCGCGCGCCUCCACUCGACCCAGUCGCCUCCGUCUUCAUCGUAGCGUCGCCGGACCAGCAGCUCUAUCGCUCGGGCCAUGCUACUCCGCACUAACCAGCAGCAGCAGCGAACCCAGGCGCCCUGCUCCGGACCUCGACCUCAUCGAGCUCCCUCGCCUCCACCUCAUCGUCGCACAGCCUUGCCUCCACUAAGCAGCAGCAGGAAGCGGCCAUGGCGCCCCUCCAUCUUGAAACUCCCGUGCCACCAAGCCUUGGAAAUGGCUAGAUCCGGUCUGGAUCGACCUCCCACGCCAAAGACCACGCCGUCCCGGCCCUGCAGCCCCGCCGCCAAGUACCAGCACGCGCCCACGAAGACUCUACUUCCAGUGCCGCCACCUUGUUCGUUCUCUGCCGCGUCAAGGAGAUGCUCGAUCUGGUCCCCAUUGACCGCGAGCAUCGGCUGGGUCACAGCCGCGCAGACCCAGCUCCCUUCGCCUGCGAGGCCAGCUCCACGCGCCCCUGCAGGCCCAAUUUGCAGGUGCCGUUGACGCCAGUGCAGGCGAUGCUACCGAACUCAAGUGGGAGUUCGACGAGGAAAUUGGUCGGUACUACGCUUCGUUUCCUGAUGAUCAGUAGUGGAGCCCAGUUAGGACGAUCUGGGAUCUAGCAAUUGGGGUUAUCUUCUUUUCAUUUGGAUUUGACCGUAGUCGGUCUAUGUGUGUAUCUUGAAUGAUGUAUGAAUUUAUUUAUGAA